rnacentral:lncRNA from 1 species
GAGCACAUCGUGUGGCAAAACACGCUGACAUUGGCACCACGCGGGUAGACGAUUCGCAUGUCUGACGAUCCGACAGUCCCGAUCACAUCCCAUGCGCACGGAUGGUUCAUAUGCAUUUUAUCUUUAAACACAAUCAGACGAACGAGAUCAAUUAUGAUGAACGGUCCAGAUUUGUCCACAUAAUCGGUCUAAAUAGGCAAC